rnacentral:lncRNA from 1 species
UGUGUCAAUUCUAAGCAAAACCACAAACAAAUUCUAGAACAUCUCAAAACCCGGUAUCACAAGUAUAUAAGCGUUUACUAAAGAGUGCAAUAAUAAUACAAUAUUUGUCUGGAAUAUAAAAUAGAAAAGGAUAAAGUAAAUAAAUAAGAUGAAGACUCUAUGGGCUGUGGUGCGUAGCAUAGAAAGCAGCUCAUCAUAAAGUCCCCUUAGCAGUUGCGCCUACGCACCAAGAUGGCCACCAAAUGAACCUGUCAGAUCCUGCACAUUUAGUGCAGAAGUAUAACAUGAGUACGUAAAUCAACGCGUAUCAAGGUCCAAGUAAGUAUCUAGCCUAACGCCGGAAAAGUAGUGACGAGGGGUAGACAUCGACACUUACUAGUGGUCCAAUAAAUCGGUUGCCUAAGACUAGAACUGGGAUUAAAUGACCCAUUCCAGGGCUUGAGAGUAUAGCAAUAUGAAGCUGUGAUCUAUCCAUAGAAUUUUUUAUUUUUUUUUGAAAAGAGAAAGAAUUUUUUAAAACACAAUCUGGAAGAGAAAAUGUUGAUGAAUUUUACAAAAUGAGAAUCGUUUAGGUAUGAGCUUUAUAGGACCACAAAGUUU